UACGUAGGGGGCGAGCGUUGUCCGGAAUUAUUGGGCGUAAAGAGCGUGUAGGCGGUUCGGUAAGUCUGCCGUGAAAACCCAGGGCUCAACCCUGGGCGUGCGGUGGAUACGGGCAGGCUAGAGUCCGGUUGGGGAGACUGGAAUUCCUGGUGUAGCGGUGGAAUGCGCAGAUAUCAGGAGGAACACCGGUGGCGAAGGCGGGUCUCUGGGCCGGUACUGACGCUGAGGAGCGAAAGCGUGGGGAGCGAACAGG
rnacentral:rRNA from 1 species